rnacentral:rRNA from 1 species
AGCAGCCGCGGUAAUUCCAGCUCCAAUAGCGUAUAUUAAAGUUGUUGCAGUUAAAAGCUCGUAGUUGAAUUUCGGGGUUUAUCCGUUGGUCGGGCUUUUUGGUCUGUACUGGCGUGAUGGAUUCCUACCUUCUGAAUAACCGGCAUGCCAUUAAUUUGGUGCGCCGGGGAAGCAGGACUGUUACCUUGAAAAAAUUAGAGUGCUUAAAGCAGGCUUAUGCCUGAAUACAUUAGCAUGGAAUAAUGAAAUAGGACGGCAUGGUUCUAUUUUGUUGGUUUCUAGGAUCACCGUAAUGAUUAAUAGGGAUAGUUGGGGGCAUUAGUAUUCAAUUGUCAGAGGUGAAAUUCUUGGAUUUAUUGAAGACUAACUUCUGCGAAAGCAUUUGCCAAGGAUGUUUUCAUUAAUCAAGAACGAAAGUUAGGGGAUCGAAGAUGAUCAGAUACCGUCGUAGUCUUAACCAUAAACUAUGCCGACUAGGGAUCGGACGAUGUUAAUUUUUUAAUGACUCGUUCGGCGCCUU